UUGACAGUGAAGGGUGACAGCAGCAGGAAGGAAUGAGCUCCGGUUUCUCUUCUUCACACUUGAGUGAAGCAGCCUCUCACAAAAGAAGCUCUUCAUUCAGCUUCUUGACAUAUUUCAGUGAGUCAUGUUUGAGUCUAUUGUCUUCGAGCUAAUUGUGAAGCUUUAAGAAGUUUAUUUUUUUUUUCAUCUAAUGUUGUCUACAUCAUAAUAGACAGUCAGAUUCCACCGUGCACCUAAUUGUGUCACGAAUCGUCCAGGACGGGAACCCAAAAGCAGACCACACGGAAGAAUCAAAAUAAAAGCGCCUGGUGUCCUGCACUCCUCCACCUGCCCAUCUCCGCCCAAUCAUUUUAGACAUCUGCUUCAUCAACGCAUCAUUCUAUCAGCAACCACCACCACCAGUGUCUGUACUCCAUGGGGCGGAUAUAUCUUGGUGCUCAGGGGAACGGCCCUGUGAAGUGCAAGCGGCAACAACUCUGUCAAGACUGUCAUCGCAUAUCAUCUGUUAAUAAU
ensembl:lncRNA